rnacentral:rRNA from 1 species
CUACGGGUGGCACCAGUGGGGAAUAUUGCACAAUGGAGGGAACUCUGAUGCAGCAACGCCGCGUGGAGGAUGACACAUUUCGGUGCGUAAACUCCUUUUAUAUAAGAAGAUAAUGACGGUAUUAUAUGAAUAAGCACCGGCUAACUCCGUGCCAGCAGCCGCGGUAAUACGGGGGGUGCAAGCGUUACUCGGAAUCACUGGGCGUAAAGAGCAUGUAGGCUGGAUGACAAGUUGGAAGUGAAAUCCUAUGGCUUAACCACAGAACUGCUUCCAAAACUGUCUUCCUAGAGUAUGGGAGAGGUAGAUGGAAUUUCUGGUGUAGGGGUAAAAUCCGUAGAGAUCAGAAGGAAUACCGAUUGCGAAGGCGAUCUACUGGAACAUUACUGACGCUCAGAUGCGAAAGCGUGGGGAGCAAACAGGAUUAGAUACCCUCGUAGUC